CUCGCUAGCUCAGAAACCCUAAGCGCCUGAGAAGAUGAAGUUCCACAUUGCAAAUCCAACCACUGGUUGCCAGAAGAAGCUCGAGAUCGUCGAUGACCAGAAACUACGUGCGUUUUUCGACAAGAGAGUCAAAAGACUCUCUAAGAAGUCAGUGGAGAUGCGUUGGGCGAGGACUUCAAGGGUUACGUUCUCAAGAUCAUGGGUGGUUGUGAUAAGCAAGGUUUCCCAAUGAAGCAGGGAGUUUUGACUCAGAAAGAAAAUUCACAGUUCUGAACUAUAUAAACCCUUUUUAGAUUUUAUAAUAUAUAUAGUAACGUGGAAACGCAAAAUACAAACAAACGAAAUAUUUUGCUUU